rnacentral:piRNA from 1 species
CUCCCUCCUCCAGGAGGCAGGGAGG